GAGUUUGAUCCUGGCUCAGAACGAACGCUGGCGGCGUGCUUAACACAUGCAAGUCGAACGUGAUCCAGAGCUUGCUCUGGUGAAAGUGGCGCACGGGUGAGUAACGCGUGGAUAACCUGCCCUGGUAUCUGGGAUAACAUCUCGAAAGGGGUGCUAAUACCGGAUAAGCCUACGGGAUCUUCGGAUUCUGCAGGAAAAGGAGGCCUCUAUUUAUAAGCUUCCGUAUCAUGAUGGGUCCGCGUACCAUUAGCUAGUUGGUGGGGUAAUGGCCUACCAAGGCGACGAUGGUUAGCUGGUCUGAGAGGAUGAUCAGCCACACUGGAACUGAGACACGGUCCAGACUCCUACGGGAGGCAGCAGUGGGGAAUUUUGCGCAAUGGGGGAAACCCUAACGCAGCAACGCCGCGUGAGUGAUGAAGGCUUUCGGGUCGUAAAGCUCUGUCAGAGGGGAAGAAAUGAAACGUGCUAAUAUCACGUUUUCUUGACGGUACCCUCAAAGGAAGCACCGGCUAACUCCGUGCCAGCAGCCGCGGUAAUACAAGGGYKYYYYCRAA
rnacentral:rRNA from 1 species